rnacentral:lncRNA from 1 species
UCACCACCCUUCACCACCAUCUCGUUUUUAUAGAUCCGGUGCACCUCCGGCCGGUUGCCGGUCGUCUAUCUUACCAGUCAAACACCCACCCCCAUACACCCACACCCCUCGUCUCUAUCUGAUUCGGCUCCGACGACCGGAGAUCGGGGAUUCCGGCCAGCUCCACCAACUUCUCCGGCCGACCACACCCACACCUGCAACAUUACUCACCCACCACACUGCAAAUUCAACAAAUUUUUUUCGAAUCUUCACAGUAUGAGCAAUUCAAGACUCUAAAGAUCUCCACUUUAACAACAAUAUCAUGAAACAGAUAGAUUUGUGGAAGGAUAGACGAGAGAGACACGGGAGAAAAAGGGGUGCCGGCCGUGCCAGCGGCGACACACGACAGCGGACACGAUUGGAAUAAUUGGGGGAAUUUGGGGCAGAUUUGAAAGUAUCUUCAGCAUCUUCAACAGUAAUAUCCUGUUGACUAACAGUGUUUGAAGUUGAUUCCUUUGAUCCUUCAGCCAUUUGUGUGAGAUGCAGAUUGGGGUGAAAGAUAAACGGAAGCUUUUGAUUUUGGGAAGAAACAGUUUGAAGUGAAAAUGAGUGAAUCUAUGUUGCAGAUGAUGAUGAUGACAGGGACAGGGUGA